rnacentral:lncRNA from 1 species
UAUUCAGACAGGUAAUAGAGGUAUGACAGAGAUCUGCUCUAGAUGACAAGCAGAUGUCUCAGUAAGUCAGGAGUAUAUAGAGUCAAGAGAACCUUGGAGAAAAUAAUAGAAGUCUAAGAGGCCAAGAGUUGAGAUCAAGCAUAGGGGCAACAGGUAAAUGUGUGUCCUGGAGUUUGCUGCACAUAUCAAUCCAUCACCUAGAUAUUGAGACCAGCAUGCAUUAGCUAUUUUUCCUAAUGCAUUUAUAAGUGAGAACAUGCAGUGUUUGGUUUUCUGUUCCUACGUUAGUUUGCUUAGGAUAAUGGCUUCUAGCUCCAUUCAUUUCACUGCAAAGAACAUGAUCUUUUUCCUUUUUAUGGCUGCAUAGUGUUCCAUGGUGUAUAUGUACUACAUUUUCCUUAUCCGGUCUACUAUUGAUGGGCAUUUGGGUUGAUUCCAUGUCAUUCUUCAUGAUAGAAUUAUUUGUAUUCCUCUGCCUAUAUACCCAGUAAUAGGAUUGAUGGGUCAAAUCGUAGUUUGCAUUUAAGUCUUUGAGGAAUCUCCGUACUGCUUUCCACAGUGGUUGAACUUAUUUACACUC